rnacentral:rRNA from 1 species
AGCAGCCGCGGUAAUUCCAGCUCCAAUAGCGUAUAUUAAAGUUGUUGCAGUUAAAAGGCUCGUAGUUGAAUUUCGGGACCAAUUUGUUGGUCGUGCCUCGGUACGUACUGGUAUUAUUGGUUUCUCCCUUCUGAAGAACCUCGAUGCCAUUAAUUUGGUGUCGUGGGGAAUCAGGACUGUUACUUUGAAAAAAUUAGAGUGUUUAAAGCAAGUAUACGCUUGAAUACAUUAGCAUGGAAUAAUGAAAUAGGACGUUUGAUUCUAUUUUGUUGGUUUCUAGGAUCGACGUAAUGAUUAAUAGGGAUAGUUGGGGGCAUUAGUAUUCAAUUGUCAGAGGUGAAAUUCUUGGAUUUAUUGAAGACUAACUACUGCGAAAGCAUUUGUCAAGGAUGUUUUCAUUAAUCAAGAACGAAAGUUAGGGGAUCGAAGACGAUCAGAUACCGUCGUAGUCUUAACCAUAAACUAUGCCGACUAGGGAUCGGAUGAUGUUAAUUUUUUAUGUACUCAUUCGGCGUCCUUA